GUGUAAUGGUUAGCACUCUGGACUC
rnacentral:piRNA from 5 species